GAUGAACGCUAGCGGCAGGCUUAAUACAUGCAAGUCGAGGGACAGCACAGGUAGCAAUACUGGGUGGUAACCGGCAAACGGGUGCGGAACACGUACACAACCUUCCUUUAAGUGGGGGGUAGCCCAGAGAAAUUUGGAUUAAUACCCCGUAAUAUAGUUGAAUGGCAUCAUUUGAUUAUUAUAGCUACGGCGCUUAAUGAUGGGUGUGCGGCUGAUUAGAUAGUUGGCGGGGUAACGGCCCACCAAGUCUACGAUCAGUAGCUGAUGUGAGAGCAUGAUCAGCAAAACGGGCACUGAGACACGGGCCCGACUCCUACGGGAGGCAGCUGUAAGGAAUAUUGGUCAAUGGACGCAAGUCUGAACCAGCCAUGCCGCGUGAAGGAUUAAGGUCCUCUGGAUUGUAAACUUCUUUUAUUUGGGACGAAAAAGGGCCUUUCUAGGUCAACUGACGGUACCAGAUGAAUAAGCACCGGCUAACUCCGUGCCAGCCGCCGCAGUAAGAC
rnacentral:rRNA from 1 species